UACUCCUACGGGAGGCAGCAGUGGGGAAUAUUGCGCAAUGGGGGGAACCCUGACGCAGCCAUGCCGCGUGAAUGAAGAAGGCCUUCGGGUUGUAAAGUUCUUUCGGUAUUGAGGAAGGUUGAUGUGUUAAUAGCACAUCAAAUUGACGUUAAAUACAGAAGAAGCACCGGCUAACUCCGUGCCAGCAGCCGCGGUAAUACGGAGGGUGCGAGCGUUAAUCGGAAUGACUGGGCGUAAAGGGCACGCAGGCGGUUAUUUAAGUGAGGUGUGAAAGCCCUGGGCUUAACCUAGGAAUUGCAUUUCAGACUGGGUAACUAGAGUACUUUAGGGAGGGGUAGAAUUCCACGUGUAGCGGUGAAAUGCGUAGAGAUGUGGAGGAAUACCGAAGGCGAAGGCAGCCCCUUGGGAAUGUACUGACGCUCAUGUGCGAAAGCGUGGGGAGCAAACAGGAUUAGAUACCCUGGUAGUCCACGCUGUAAACGCUGUCGAUUUGGGGGUUGGGGUUUAACUCUGGCGCCCGUAGCUAACGUGAUAAAUCGACCGCCUGGGGAGUACGGCCGCAAGGUUAAAACUCAAAUGAAUUGACGGA
rnacentral:rRNA from 1 species